CUACGGGGUGCUGCAACUAGGAAUUUUGCGCAAUGGGGGCAACCCUGACGCAGCGACACAGCGUGGAGGAGGAAGGUCUUCGGAUUGUAAACUCCUUUUAUAUGGGAAGAAUAGAUGACGGUACCAUAUGAAUAAGCACCUGCUAACUACGUGCCAGAAGCAUCGGUGAUGCGUAGGGUGCGGACGUUAUCCGGAUUUAUUGGGCGUAAAGAGAUGCGUAGGCGUUUCAGUUAGUCUUUCGUUAAAGAUCACGGCUCAACCGUGAAAAAGCGGUGGAUACUGCUGAAAUUGAGACAUGAAGGGGUGAACGGAAUUCCAAGUGGAGCGGUGAAAUGCGUUGAUAUUUGGAGGAACAUCAGUGGCGAAGGCGGUUCACUGGUCAUUGUCUGACGCUAAGGCUCGAAAGCGUGGGUAGCAAAACGGAUUAGAUACCCCCGUAGUC
rnacentral:rRNA from 1 species